rnacentral:rRNA from 1 species
GACGUAGGGGGCAAGCGUUGUUCGGAAUUAUUGGGCGUAAAGCGCUCGUAGGCGGGACAGGAAGUUCGUGUUGAAAGACCUCGGCUCAACUGAGGGACCGGCUCGAAUACUCUUGUUCUUGAGGCAAUCAGAGGGUGAUGGAAUUCCCGGUGUAGCGGUGAAAUACGUAGAUAUCGGGAGGAACACCAGUGGCGAAGGCGAUCACCUGGGGUUGUUCUGACGCUGAGGAGCGAAAAGCUAGGGGAGCAAACGGG